AACGAACGCUGGCGGCAUGCCUAACACUUGCAAGUCGAACGAAGGCUUCGGCCUUAGUGGCGCACGGGUGAGUAACGCGUGGGAAACUGCCUAUUGGUGGGGAAUAACGACGGGAAACUGUCGCUAAUACCGCAUAAGCCCUUCGGGGGAAAGAUUUAUCGCCGAUAGAUGUGCCCGCGUCCGAUUAGCUAGUUGGUGAGGUAAUGGCUCACCAAGGCGACGAUCGGUAGCUGGUCUGAGAGGAUGAUCAGCCACACUGGGACUGAGACACGGCCCAGACUCCUACGGGAGGCAGCAGUGGGGAAUAUUGGACAAUGGGCGAAAGCCUGAUCCAGCAAUGCCGCGUGAGUGAUGAAGGCCUUAGGGUUGUAAAGCUCUUUCGGGUGGGACGAUGAUGACGGUACCGCCAGAAGAAGCCCCGGCUAACUUCGUGCCAGCCGCCGCGGUAA
rnacentral:rRNA from 1 species